UCGACGCUUCUUUCCUCCCGAGUGCUUGCACUCAAUUGGAAAGAGGAGUGGCGGACGGGUGAGUAACACGUGGGUAACCUACCCAUCAGAGGGGGAUAACACUUGGAAACAGGUGCUAAUACCGCAUAACAGUUUAUGCCGCAUGGCAUAAGAGUGAAAGGCGCUUUCGGGUGUCGCUGAUGGAUGGACCCGCGGUGCAUUAGCUAGUUGGUGAGGUAACGGCUCACCAAGGCCACGAUGCAUAGCCGACCUGAGAGGGUGAUCGGCCACACUGGGACUGAGACACGGCCCAGACUCCUACGGGAGGCAGCAGUAGGGAAUCUUCGGCAAUGGACGAAAGUCUGACCGAGCAACGCCGCGUGAGUGAAGAAGGUUUUCGGAUCGUAAAACUCUGUUGUUAGAGAAGAACAAGGACGUUAGUAACUGAACGUCCCCUGACGGUAUCUAACCAGAAAGCCACGGCUAACUACGUGCCAGCAGCCGCGGUAAUACGUAGGUGGCAAGCGUUGUCCGGAUUUAUUGGGCGUAAAGCGAGCGCAGGCGGUUUCUUAAGUCUGAUGUGAAAGCCCCCGGCUCAACCGGGGAGGGUCAUUGGAAACUGGGAGACUUGAGUGCAGAAGAGGAGAGUGGAAUUCCAUGUGUAGCGGUGAAAUGCGUAGAUAUAUGGAGGAACACCAGUGGCGAAGGCGGCUCUCUGGUCUGUAACUGACGCUGAGGCUCGAAAGCGUGGGGAGCAAACAGGAUUAGAUACCCUGGUAGUCCACGCCGUAAACGAUGAGUGCUAAGUGUUGGAGGGUUUCCGCCCUUCAGUGCUGCAGCAAACGCAUUAAGCACUCCGCCUGGGGAGUACGACCGCAAGGUUGAAACUCAAAGGGAAUUGACGGGGGCCCGCACAAGCGGUGGAGCAUGUGGUUU
rnacentral:rRNA from 1 species